UAAAGCGUUGCCCACAAAACUGAGAAAG
rnacentral:piRNA from 1 species